GACAGAGGGUGCCAACGUUGCUCGGAAUUACUGGGCGUAAAGCGCGUGUAGGCGGGGCCGCACGUCCGGUGUGAAAGCCCGGGGCUCAACCCCGGAAGGGCACUGGAAACGACGGCCCUGGAGGCUUGAAGAGGAGCGCGGAAUUCCCGGUGUAGAGGUGAAAUUCGUAGAUAUCGGGAGGAACACCGGUGGCGAAGGCGGCGCUCUGGCCAAGUUCUGACGCUGAGACGCGAAAGCGUGGGUAGCAAACAGG
rnacentral:rRNA from 1 species